GCACUGCUGAGGAGUCUCAUAAUGGAACGAAACGGCCGUUCAGUGC
rnacentral:hammerhead_ribozyme from 1 species